GGUUGAGAGUUUGAGGCCACAACAGAAGUGUUUAUGGCACAGCCUUGUCAGAUUCCAAUGAAUCUGCAAAUUCUGCU
rnacentral:ribozyme from 2 species